rnacentral:rRNA from 1 species
GACGAACGCUGGCGGCGUGCUUAACACAUGCAAGUCGAACGGAAAGGCCCUGCUUUUGUGGGGUGCUCGAGUGGCGAACGGGUGAGUAACACGUGAGUAACCUGCCCUUGACUUUGGGAUAACUUCAGGAAACUGGGGCUAAUACCGGAUAGGAGCUCCUGCUGCAUGGUGGGGGUUGGAAAGUUUCGGCGGUUGGGGAUGGACUCGCGGCUUAUCAGCUUGUUGGUGGGGUAGUGGCUUACCAAGGCUUUGACGGGUAGCCGGCUUGAGAGGGUGACAGGCCACAUUGGGACUGAGAUACGGCCCAGACUCCUACGGGAGGCAGCAGUGGGGAAUAUUGCACAAUGGGCGGAAGCCUGAUGCAGCAACGCCGCGUGCGGGAUGACGGCCUUCGGGUUGUAAACCGCUUUCGCCUGUGACGAAGCGUGAGUGACGGUAAUGGGUAAAGAAGCACCGGCUAACUACGUG